rnacentral:lncRNA from 1 species
GAAUGGACACAGAUUCCUGCCCUCAAUGAGUUUAGAACUUUAUUAUUGUGCGAACCUAUCUCCUCUCAGAUUUGUUCAUCUUCCAGCUCCUACAUCUUGCCCAGAGGCCUACCGGGAGUAAGAAAUGGGUUACGUUCCCUGCCUUUUAAAGCACAGAGCCGCCUAGCCCUGAAUACCCUGCACCCCUGUCUUGCUGCACUAAACUCUAGUCUUUAGGGCUUUGUGAUACCACCCCCCUGACCAACUCUUGUUUCUCCAGCAGGGCAUCUGUAUUCUUCAUCCAUAUGAAGAAGCGAGGAAGUGUGAAGGUUAAUUUUCUUGAGCAGCCAUGCCAACGUUGUGCAGGCAUCACAGAGGGUUUGAGGAUUUAGAAAUCGUUAAUGAAUAAUCACUUUAAAAACCAUUUUCUACUGAAAAGAGGCACUGCAUGGCCCCUCUCCUCAGCUCUGCCUGGCUCCAUCAUUCCAGUUAUCUUUAAUUGUACCUUGCUCUCUGAUGUCUACUUGCAGUCUUAGGCCAGCUAACAAAUGUCACUGCUCUGGGCCAUUGAUCGAGAUUUAGGGGAAAAAUUAAAGGACAUGUGAAGAAAGAACCAGAUACAAGGAAGCAGGAAGUGCUCUCAACGCUGCAAGGUCACCGAUUCAGAAAGCAGAGGAUAGAAGUGGGGAAUGAAAAAAAGAAUGGCAUCCAGGAAAGAGAUUUUGGUGCCAACCACUGGACAUCUGUGUGUUCUUUGCUCUUUGUCUCUUUGGGGCAGCUGCUGGGGGUGGGUACAAGGUGUGCAGGGGCUUUGGGCUGUGUGCACAGACAUUUGUUGACAAUAGACCAGUUUCAGUUUGGUUUGAAACUAUUAAAAUUUUAUUUUUAUUGGUGUCUCAGAAAGGCAGUGAUUGUUCUGUUCCCCUGGCACAUCUAUCCCAGAGGCAGGUUGUAACUCGUCCUGUUUGCCCAAGCCUUAGUAGAGUCCCCAGGGAAGGGACAGUCAGAUGGUGUCAAUUUGAAAGCAAAUGUGUCUCCUGAUCAAAAGAAACCCACUGAGGUGGAGGCUUGUCACCUUCUUCCCCUCCAUCUUCCAGCUCUUGUGCUUGGCACCUUUUUUCCUGUGGACAGUCCGACCCAGCUGGAAAGCUCUGACUAUUUGUAGGCAGCUGGGAACACAGUUUUGUGUCAACAGGGAGGUUGGGGUUUAAUGGAGAAUGAUUCCUCAGGCUCCUGAGCAGUCUUUCACAAAUGGCAGCUCAAACGUUUCACCAGUGGAGAGUAGGGAGCACUUCUUGGUAUUUUUCAGACCCAAGCGCAGCCACUUAUUGGCUGCGUGACAGUGGGCAGGUGGCUUAACUUCUCUGAACCUCAGACUUCUCAUUUUGCUAUCA